rnacentral:rRNA from 1 species
UACGUAGGUGGCGAGCGUUGUCCGGAAUUACUGGGCGUAAAGGGUGCGCAGGCGGUAUGGCAAGUCAGAUGUGAAAUUCCGGGGCUUAACUUCGGAAUUGCAUUAGAAACUGUCAUACUAGAGUGCAGGAGAGGAAAGCGGAAUUCCUAGUGUAGCGGUGAAAUGCGUAGAUAUUAGGAAGAACACCAGUGGCGAAGGCGGCUUUCUGGACUGUAACUGACGCUGAGGCACGAAAGCGUGGGGAGCAAAC